rnacentral:lncRNA from 1 species
CACAUAACUUCUUAAUUUCUACAUUCCCUCCCUUACUCUUCGGGGGUUUCCUUUCAAUAAGCAACUUUUCCAUGCUCUUAAUGUAUUCCUUUUUAGUAGGAAUCCGGAAGUAUUAGAUUGAAUGGAAAAGCACUUGCCAUCUCUGUCUAGGGGUCACAAAUUGAAAUGGCUCCUGUAUCACAUACGGAGGUCUUGUGUAUCUGUGGCAACAGGGAGUUUCCUUAUUCACUCUUUAUUUGCUGCUGUUUAAGUUGCCAACCUCCCUUCCCAAUAAAAAUUCACUUACACCUCCUGCCUUUGUAGUUCUGGUAUUCACUUUACUAUGUGAUAGAAGUAGCAUGUUGCUGCCAGAAUACAAGCAUUGCUUUUGGCAAAUUAAAGUGCAUGUCAUUUCUUAAUACACUAGAAAGAGGAAAAAAAGUACGCAAGUCCAAGUCUAAAACUUUAGUACUUUUCCAUGCAGAUUUGUGCACAUGUGAGAGGGUGUCCAGUUUGUCUAGUGAUUGUUAUUUAGAGAGUUGGACCACUACUGUGUGUUGCUAAUCAUUGACUGUAGUCCCAAAAAAGCCUUGUGAAAAUGUUAUGCCCUAUGUAACAGCAGAGUAACAUAAAAUAAAAGUACAUUUUAUAAACCAUUUACUAUGGCUUUGUAACAAUUGCAUACCCAUAUUUUAAGGGACAGGUGAAUUUACUACUUUCUAAAGUUUAUUGAUACUUCCCUUUUAUGUAAAAUGUAGUAGUGAUACGUAUAUUUCCGCAUUGUGCAUUGUGACACACUUGUCUAGGGAUGCCUGGAAAUGUAUAAAAUUGGACUGCAUUUCUUAGAGUGUUUUACUAUAGAUCAGUCUCAUGGGCCAUCUCUUCCUCAGAUGUAAAUGAUAUCUGGUUAAGUGUUAUAUGGAAUAAAGUGGACAUUUUAAAACUAAAAAAAAAA